UACGAAGGGGGCUAGCGUUGCUCGGAAUCACUGGGCGUAAAGGGUGCGUAGGCGGGUCUUUAAGUCAGGGGUGAAAUCCUGGAGCUCAACUCCAGAACUGCCUUUGAUACUGAGGAUCUUGAGUUCGGGAGAGGUGAGUGGAACUGCGAGUGUAGAGGUGAAAUUCGUAGAUAUUCGCAAGAACACCAGUGGCGAAGGCGGCUUACUGGUCCGGUUCUGACGCUGAGGUGCGAAAGCGUGGGGAGCAAACAGG
rnacentral:rRNA from 1 species